rnacentral:rRNA from 1 species
UACGUAGGGUGCAAGCGUUGUCCGGAAUUAUUGGGCGUAAAGAGCUCGUAGGCGGUUUGUUGCGUCGGCUGUGAAAUCCCGAGGCUCAAUCUCGGGUCUGCAGUCGAUACGAGCAAACUAGAGUGUUGCAGGGGAGAGUGGAAUUCCUGGUGUAGCGGUGAAAUGCGCAGAUAUCAGGAAGAACACCCGUGGCUAAGGCGGCUCUCUAGUACGGUACUGACGCUGAGACGCGAAAGCGUGGGGAGCGAACAGG